ACUUAAUGACUGAAAAUAAAAGUCAUAAAAUGCCAAAUUACCAUUGCUGGGGAAAAUGACAAGAAUGUCUAUUCUUCCAACUAGAAAGUUGGGAAAUAAUGGCAAAAUGUCAAGUCACCAAACUUGAUUGAAAUGUCAUUAAUAUAGAAAUAUUUGGAAAAAGAAUAGGGAUUCUGGGAUAAAAUUUUGAGUUGAAAUUCUUUAAGUUCUUACUUAUGAAUUUGUGAAAGCAAGUCUGUUAGUUCUAUCUUUCCUAUUUCACUACACUGGACUUGUGCUCGAUAUGUAGAACUAAAUUAUUAUUUCUAAGGCAAUGGCUUCAUGUGUGAUGUUUAUUGCACAAUAAACAUCACAAGGCACAGGGAAUCAUAAGUACAGGGAAUGCUUGUGGGGCUGAUUUGCUCCUGUGUGGGAGCAAAGGUGCCUUGAAUACUUUGCCAGUAUUUAAUUGCUAACUAGUGUUGUAGCAGUGGUGAGAUAUGAGAAGGGAAUUUCUUAUGAAUAAAAAAAAAUUAUGUAGCACAAUUCCAGAAAUUUGAUCUCUUGUAAUACUGAGAAGCUCCAUUUGAGAAAUCUGGAUUGCCCAGAUUUUAAAAAUCAAUGUAAAAUCAUUGCUUUUUGUCGUCUAAUUCUACUCUUCUUGACUCUUAUUACUAAUCACAUCCAAAUUGUACUCUGAACUUCCCAGUAAACCUGAAAGCCAUGGAUUACUAAAUAGAGAUACAUCAUUAAUACAUUCUUACAAAUGCCAACGCUUCCAAAAGUCACAUCAGUUGGAGACUGAGUUAAAAGUGGAAAUGUUUUACUAUGAAUUGUGUCUGUAUGCAACAUUAUAUUCAGUCACCUAAUUGCCAUUAUUCAUAAAACAAUCUUUGGCCUAUGCUGGAGAAAUGUAAGUUUAAAAUAUUUGACAGAUAUACCAAGGAAAUGCAGUAUCUUCAAUUGAAAGGAAAUGUCUUGGAAUUUCUGAAACAAUG